GCUGGUCCCUCUGGGGCUGACGGAUCGGGGCCCCGGGGAAGCAAUUCCGAAGCGGAGGAGAGCGAGGACGCGCGGGCGGGAGGGGGCGUCUGCCUUUGUGGGCGAAGCCCCCUCGGCCAGCCCCGCGCGUCCCGGGGAGAAGAAAAUCAAAGCUACCUGGAGCCAUUUUUAACCACCUCCUCCUCCGCCUACUGGCCCGCAUCCUGCACAGCCCGGUCACCACUCCAAGCUGCAAGUCCGCUCCCCAGCCUGGUCCUCGCGGUCGGAUGAAGAAAUGGACGCUCACGGCGGCGGGAGCCUCGCCCAGGACCCUGCCGCUAUGUAGUUCCGCGUGCACUGGGCUGGGGGUGCGGAGGCUGACCACAAACUCCAGGGGAGCCAUGGCCCCCUUCGAAGGAGCUACGACCCCACCGUGGGAAAGGGGAACCAAUUGCAACCAGGGCUGCUCCUAACUGCCACGGGCCUUGGGUACUUGUGCCUCCCCCGGCUUCUUCCUCUAUUUAAAACAAAUAAUAAUUUAAUAGAUUUUUAUUUC